rnacentral:tRNA from 1 species
GAAGGUGCCGCCGAAUGGUCGGCAACUGGUCUUGAAAAUCAGGGUACGGUUCGCUGUAGGGGUUCGAUUCCUCCACCUUCC